rnacentral:lncRNA from 1 species
CCGGGUGUGAGAUGGCGGAGAAAAUGGAGACAAGAGGAGGUUCACUCUGAGACUUUGAUUCCUCUGGGCCAGCAUUCAUAUGGCUCAACCAGGAUGGAAUGCAGUGGGAAACACACAGCACCAUCUGUGAAUGAUUCUUGCCUCACUGAACCAGAAUCUAGUAAGAAGUACAAAAGAACAAGUUAAAUGACACCACAAGAAAGCAACCAGCCAAUCCAGAAUGUGGGAUACUCUAUCU